rnacentral:lncRNA from 1 species
UGCACGUGUGAAUGUGAGAGGGUCCUGUGUCUUCUCCGUGCGUGUGUGUGAGUGUCCCAUGCCCUGUGUGUGUCUGAGUAUGGAGAGUGUAUCCCGUGUCCUCUCUGUGUGUGAGUGUGUGUGAGUGUAUUCCUUGUCUCUGCGUGUGUGUCCUGUGUGACGCCCUCACACACUCCCACACAGGGAGGACGUGGGACACCCACACACUCACACUGACCUUUACUGGGAGCUGGGGUGAAAAGUGCUCCCUCCCUGAGCAGGAGUCCCGGGACCUUCUCCAGGCACACAGUCAAUGCCCGACUGAGUCAUAAGUGCAGUGAUUCCCAAGUACAGCCUUCGUCUCCCGGCCCCACAGGGAGGUACAGGACUCCGGGCAGCUGCUUGGAAAAGGAGGGGGCUGCCCAUGGUGCACAGCGGCUCUGGGAGAGGGUGCACGGUGGAUGUGGCCAGGUACGGUGGCCGAGAUCAUGAGGACAGCGGGACUUUCGUCGAUCUACCUGUCAGUGGCGAUGUACAACCCCCAACCUGCUGAGGGGCAGAGGCUCAGAGGCCAGUAACCAAAAGGUAGACACUGGCAGAUGCCGGAGGUGGGCACUACACCUGACUUCCCUCCCCAUGACUCUCGGCAACCCGGCAAGACCCUUACCACACAGACGCCACUCCGAGGGGAGGGGGUCCUCAGGCGUGUGUGGCUGCCUUCUCAGCCCCUGAGGUCCCGCAGAAGUGCCCCAUCUUACAUGCAAGAACUCUUAGGCAGAACAGGGGCUUGAGAGACCAAUGAAGUUUUGACGUUUGCUGAGACAGAACUAAGGUGACUUUUUUUGGCUCACUUUUGUACUUUUUUGAAGACUCUAGGUGCAUUGAAAUAGUUGUGCUUCCCAGUGUGAAAUAAUUUGCCAGGAAAAAUCCUCAGAAAUAAAUGGUAAGCAGUGUGUAUUGUUUACUGGAAAGGUUGGCGAGUGGAGGAACUGCACCUUCAGAGGGCUCACUCGCCGAGAGCACUGCACUGGACGCUUGGUGCAGUGCAUCUGAUUUCAUUCUCGCAGUAACUCUCUAAGUGUCUGCAGCCAGUGUAGGAGUGACUUCCCACAAAGUGUUAAGCGACAGUGAGACGCUGGCGGUUUUCCAGGGCACUGAGGCCGUGGGCAGGCUGGCUGGCCCCACCAGGGGAAGUGUUUGCAGUCCUGGUCGAUGGGCACACAAGCCUGAAAAUGUUUCUCCUGUGUGCUGGUGCAGUCCGGCUAUUUUUGAAGAAUGCUUGCUCUUGUUAAACAAAGCCUGAGCCCUGUUGGGAUGAGGCUGUUUUGAGCUGAGGCAGAGCUAGAAAGACAAGGGUGAAACACUGUGGAGAACCCUCAUGGAUCCUCUAAUCUGUGCAUGAUCUUGGAGGCCACACUUACACUGACUGCCACCCCCACACUGCUGGGCACCUGUGGCUCAAACGUUUCUCACCGUCUGCCACCUGCAUCCCUCGGUCUCGCCCUUGACACUGCAGGGAGGAGCUGAACCCCUGUGCUGUGAGCACUCUUCAGAUGGAUGAGGAUGUAGCAGCAGCCUCCCCCAGGCUUCUCAUCACCUCUGCCCUUGUCGCACACUCCUGUUAAGCCCAUAUCAAAUCAUUCCAUGCAUAAAACAAGUUGCCAAGGAGAGAGACUUACUGCUAUUUUUUUUUUUUAAAAAAGACCCGAACCCUUCUGUUUUUGUCAAAGUACACAAUGGAGUAGAAAUUUUGGAAAAUAGAGGAAAUAGCUUUAAAAAUAAUCACAUAUAAUCUCCCAGGCCAGAGAAAACUACUGAGAAUGUUUCACGGUACAUCUCCGUUUCUUCCAGUGCAUAGAAUUAGCUUCUACAUGGUGUUAAUAGUAUUGUAUUGUACUUAUUGCUUUAUAAUAUCCUUUUAUAUUUUAGAACAUCCUAGACUUUUUCACAAUUUAUUAAGUAUUCUCUAUGACAUUGGUUUCGUGGCUUUAAGCAUUUCUGCUGGAAGAGCCCUUGAUCACUCUCCAUUUCUUUCCUUUUCAAAUUUUCUUUCACGGCAUGCAUUGCCAUCUGCCAUUUUACGAUGUAUUUAGUGAUUUCUUGUCUGUGUCCUCAGCUAAAAUAGAAGCUUCAGCAGGAUAGGGUCUUUGCUGGUUUUGUCCACUGUUAUAUUAAAAGAACACAGAAUAAUAAGUGACACAUGGCAGACGGUCCA